rnacentral:lncRNA from 1 species
GGGACUUACAUGUGAAACAAGCCUGUUCCCUAACUUGAAUUAAUAAUAAUAAUAAUAAUAAUAAUAAUAAUAAUAAUAAAAAGAGAAAAAAACAAAAUUAAAUUAAAUUAAAUUAAAUUAAAAGUGGGAUAAAUUAGGGGGAUAGUAACUACUUGGAAGGAUAAUCUAAAUAAGGUGAACACACUGGCUGUGGCUCUCCCCAGGGACAGACUUAGGGUAUCAGAUCCCUGAAGCUGACAGUAGAGUAGAGCAGCUUGCAUAAGUGACCCAUCAGUGAGCAGAAAAGUUAAGGACAUCACAGACUAGCAGAAUACUGAGUAGUUGGACAAGUAUUACUCUGAAGCAUUCCUGUUCAUUCUCUCCAUAAAAAUGACACUGCUCAAAUGCCUUUAGUGUGAGGACAGAAUUUAAUAUGCUUAAUUGUUAUAAAAAGGGUGAUCAGAUGGUAUUCCUGCCAUUUUGUUAUUUUUCUUUCCCAUGGAUGUUUAUUUUCCAAUAAACAUGCACUUGAAUGCUUAAAAGACAUAACACAUUUUAAAGACAGGUUUAGCAAUUGAGAAAACAGUCCAUUAAUGACUUACAGAUGACUCAAGAGCUUUGAAACCUCAUCAGAGCUUCAUUGGAUUUAUGAGUACAUUAAAUACUUAAAAAUGAAGAAAUAUUGCAAACUUUAAAUUAAAGCAUAAAUAAUAUAAAACAGAUGUUUGUCCUAGUGUGGCCCUCAUAACAUGGACCUCUGUGUCCGUCAGCUUUGCAUUACUGUUACAAAAUACCUAAGGGAAGCAAUGCAAAGAGGGAAGUUUACUUUGGCACAGGUUUAAGGAAUUCAGUCAAUGAUCCUUGGCACUGUUGCUUUUGUGCUUGUGGCAAAGCAACACAUCAUGCUUGGAAUGGCUAGGGUAUCAAAAAGAGAGUAGAAAUGAUCAGACCUCCCUCAUCCACCAUUAGGGCAUGACUUUAGUGACCUUUAACCUUCCAUUAACUACUAUCUCUACUUUUUCACCACUUCCUUACAUCGCUAUUGGUUGGAGACUGAUCCUUGAACUUGUGAGUCUUCAAGAUAUUCUUAUCUAGUCCAUCAGAACCCCAAAUAAUAAACUCAUUAUUGAGUAUGAAACUAAUGGUGGCUGAGUCCUUAAAUAAUACAGCAUCAUGAUUUCCCUGAAUUCGACCAGAAUGGUUAACUAGCUGAGUUAGUAGUUAUGUGUGGUACUCAUCUCUUCAUCUGGGGAAAUAUUUGGGCAUAAACUAUAAAAAAGAAAAGAAGAUGUGGAAUGGCAGUAAAGUUUCAAUAUAUGAUAUAGAAAAUUAAAUAACCCCCAAAUAGCAAAGUUUUUGAUGUCAGAAAUUCAGGGAAUCUCAAUUGCCAAAGAAGAGUCCUUUUUAUAAAAUUUAACAGUUUUAUGUGAAACCCAACUCUUAAGCAACAUUUUAUAAUGCCAAAUCCAAAUUUUUCUACAAUUUUAGAAUUUGACCCUGUUGUUCAUGAUAAGUAAAUUACAUAAUAUUCUGUUUAUAAAUAAAUCUCUACAAGGGCUGUCUAUUAUAAUAACAUAAUUUUGUUUUAAAGGAUUUUUCCAGUUUGUGUGGGGGACUCAAUCAAAAGAUCCAUAGUUCGUGAAUAUAUGUUAUUAAAAACUGUCUAUGUGAUUCUUUUCACAUAGAAAUCUGAAAAGCAAUGAUUUAUGUUCUGAAUCAUCAAGAAACAUUUGUAAUGGUAUUGUUUAUUUAGUAGUAUUGCUAUUUAUUUGAUGUCAUACACCAUAUACAAUAUAGGAAAUAGAAGGCAGCUAUGCUCACCACUGUACCAUCACUGCAGGCAUAUAAUACAGGAAAUGGAGCUGGGUCAAUGUAUCAGUCUAGAAUCAGAGUGUAUGAGAGCUAUACAUCUCAUUUUGGUAAGAUAACGGGAGAAAGCAAAGCUGGAAAAUCAUCAGUUUAUUGAGAUAAGAAAAGAAGAGAGAGAUUCUGGUGUAGAUGGAAGAAUACUAGAGGCAGUGGCUUGUGCAGCCACUGCUGGGUGCAGAUAGGAUUACACAAAAAUGCUAAGAGAAAAGCCUUACCUUUGAAGCUAGCUUCUUCAAGCAGGAUUCCUGAUCCUAAAUUUGUGCCAUGGACCAGUGGUGGGAGGCCCUCACUUCCUGAGGUCAAAGUGUGUAUGACCCCAUGCCCCAAGGUUCCCAGAGGAAGAGGGAAACCUACUGCCACAGCCUGCCCUGUGGGGCCCCUGAGCCCCUGAGCCGCAGCAGAGCAGCUUGCAUAUGCUAGCGCCAUCCUGGCGCUCUUGGGGUUUCUCUUGGCACUCCCGAGAUGAUAAAGACAGAUCCAGUUAAAGAAAAACCUCUAAAGGUUUACACUACAUUUAAAAAUAUAUGUAGGCUUGUGAGAGAAAAAGUAACAGGAGGAAAUAGAGUAGCCGGUUGUGGUGGUGCACGCCUGUAGGAUUUGCUGAAGGAAGCAGAGGCAGGCGGAUUUCCACAGAGAAACCCUAUCUCGGGGAAAAAAGAAACAAAAGAAAGUAAAAAUAAAGUAAUAAAAAAGCCACAUAAAGACGGAAAAUACACAGAGAAUCUGGAUACUAUAUGUCAUAUUGUUGUCUUUAAAUUGUUUGAUUUCCGAGGAAAGAAUUACUGCUGCUAAAAUACAUUUGAUUAUAAAUGCUGCUAAAUCAAUCCAACUUAACAUUUUAAAAAUACUUUGACUUCAAAAUUUAAGUCUAAGGACAGGCUACUUGGAAAAAGAAUUUCUAUUUGUGUUUCUACAGAAAAUAAAAAGUUAUGGAUUCCUUCCAGACGAAUAUGGUUUGAUCAAGCAAGACCCCCUGAAGCUGAGCUGAUAAAGCCUUACAGCUACAAAAACAAGGACUUGGCCAGAUUUCUAUGUUUUAUCAUGAUUCCAAUGGUAUGAACAUCGCCCCCAAUCAGCAGGAAGCAGUUUAGAAAGAACAAUGCCCAAAUCCCCAAAUAUUGUUUAUAAAUGUUUGUUUUCAUUUAAAUGGGGUUGGUUAUAAAUGAUAACCAGCAUAGUCAUUUUUUUAAGAAAAAAAUAGGGGGAAUAGGAUAUAGGAAUGAAUACUUCACAUUGGUAUAGAUUUUCACUUAUUGAUACAACUUUAAAAUCAAUUUUGUGAUAUGUAUAUGUCUCCUCUUGUUUAGGUAUUGUGUUUAUACAGAUCUUUUAAAAUGAUAUACAUAACUGAAUAAGGUUAUAUAAUCACCUAUGAUAGUCAGAACUUAUAAUUAGAUUAGUUAGGUCUUCUAGAUAUACAGAAAUGUAUUUGAGGUGGUUAGGUAUUCUUCAAACCUUUCAAAGACCUACAGAAAUAUGGCAUUUAAAUGGUUUAGGGUUUAUCUUGGCAGUGAGACACAACUGCUCCUGGCACACCAAUUAUGUCAGAAAGGAGGAUGGCCAUCGAAGAAACUCGUUAUGGAGUUUGCUUUCAACAUGGCAAGAUUAGCCAUUUGGGCAAGAAACUGCUCUUGUCUGGACUGUUUGUUGCUGUAUAAACUGGACAUACAGGACCCACAAGAAAGGGACUGCUGAACUUACAAAACAAGACAGUACUGAAGGGUUCCUGUUGAAAUGGAGAAGUGUGCCAGACACUGUGGCCUAAAGACUGAAGAUGGAUGCCCCAACGUUACAGAGGAACUUGGGUGACUGUCCAGCUUCCUUUCCACAGGAAGAAUGAUGUGAUCGAAGGCAAGAAAAAGAAUGUGUG